rnacentral:lncRNA from 1 species
AAAAUAAUAAAAUGGAAAAAAUAAAAUUAUCGUUCUCUCUCAAGUUAAAAUUUUGUAUUUUUCACUAACAAAUUAGAUAAGUAGACAUUUUUUAGGGGAAUAUAUGCAUAUUUAUAUAAAAUUGAGUGUAUCGCUAUCAUUAUUAAAAUAACUAAUUGUUGUUGUUGAUAUUGUCGUCGUCGUCAUCAUCAUAAUUCCUAUUAAAUAAUAAAUAAUUAUUGUUAUUACUAUUAUAAUUGAACGAAUGAGAGUAAGAACAUAUAGACCAGUGAACUUAAAAAAUUAAACCCGGGUCACCAAGCUGUCAAAAAAGCCAAAGGAAGGCCAACUUCUAGACCUAGUAGCACAAUAUCCACGCACAGCAGCAAAUGCACGUUUCCGAGCACAACCAAACAAAGCUAAUUCCUCCAUUUUGUGGGCUUUCUACUGGUAUAAUUUGUUGAGGACACACAUUGGAGGAAUGUUAUAUGAAUGAAUGAAUGAAUUGUUAGGACACAUUGUAUGACGAUUGAAUUGACGACAACUAAUGUAUAAUUUUAAAGAAUGUUUUUAAACUUAAAAAAUGACAAUAUGUUAAUUUUUUUUUUGUUAAAUCUAGGACCACCAAACUCCCACAUGUUUGAUGUUGAUUUCGCCUCAUUAGCUUGUUUUUCUAGAACCAUUUUAUAUCCUGCUUGUUAUUCUUGUUUUUUUGUCAGAGGUUGUGGUUUAUAUCUUCCUCCUUAUGUUCUAUUCAUUAUGGUUACGUUUGGUACGUAGGAUUAUUUGGAUUAAUUAUUAAGAUUAGACUGGAUUAGAUUUAAUUGAAUUAGAUUGGAUUAUAUAAUAUUGUCUUAUGUUUUGUACAGUAUUGGAUUAGAUUACAUUACAUUAUAUUUGAAUGAAAUUAAAUUAAUAUCAUU